AUAAAUUACCCAGUCUUGGGUAAUAUCCUUUUUUUUUUUUUUUUUUGAGACGGAGUCUGGCUCUGUCUCCCGGGCUGGAGUGCAGUGGCACAAUCUCAGCUCACUGCAACCUCCGCCUCACAGGUUCAUGCCAUUCUCCUGCCUCAGCCUCCCCAGCAGCUGGGACUAUAGGCGCAAGCCGCCACGCCCGGCUAAUUUUUGUAUUUUUAGUAGAGACGGGGUUUCAUCGUGUUAGCCAGGAUGGUCUCGAUCUCCUGACCUUGUGAUACACCCACCUCGGCCUCCCAAAGUGCUGGGAUUACAGGCGUGAGCCCCCGUGCCCGUCCGGGUAAUAUUCUUAAUAGCAGUGUGAGAGAACGGACUAAUACAGUAAAUUGGUACCAAGAGUUUGGGGCACUGCUAUAAAGAUACUUGAAAAUUUGGAAGUGACUUUGGGACUGGGUAACAGGCAGAUGUUGGAACAGUUUGGAGGGCUCAGAAGAAGACAGGAAGAUGUGGGAAAGUUUGAACCUUCCUAGAGACUUGUUGAAUGGUUUUGACCAAAAUGCUGAUAAUGAUGUGGACAAUGUAGUCCAGGCUGAGGUGGUCUCAAAUGGAGAUGAGGAACUUCUUGGGAACUGGAGCAAAGGGUCACUCUUGCUAUGCUUUAUCAAAGAGACUGCUGGCAUUUUGCCACUGCCCUAGAGAUCUGUGAAACUUUGAACUUGAGAGAGAUGAUUUAAGGCAUCUGGCAGAAGAAAUUUCUAAGUAGCAAAGCAUUCAAGAGGUGACCUGGUUGAUUUUGAAAGUGUUCAGUCUUAUACAUUCACAAAGAGAUAAUUCGAAAUUGGAACUUAUUUUUAAAAGGGGGUCAGGCGCAGUGGCUCAUGCCUGUAAUCCCAGCCCUUUGGGAGGCCAAUGCAGGUGGGUCACUUGAGGUCAGGGGUUGGAGACCAGCCUGGCCUACAUGGCAAAACCUUGUCUCUGUGAAAAAUACAAAAAUUAGCCAGGCAUGGUGGUGGGUGCCUGUAAUCCCAGCUACUAUACUGGAGGCUGAGGUGCAAGAAUCACUUGAACCUGGGAGGCGGAGGUUGCAGUGAGCUGAGAUCACACCACUGCACUCUAGCUUGGGUGACAGAGUGAGACUCCAUCUCAAAAAAAAAAAAAAGCGGGGCGCAACAGAGUGUAAAAAUAUGGAAAAUUUGCAGCUGACCAUGUAGUAGACAAGAAAAAACCAUUUAUGGGGAGGAAUUUAAGCCAGCUGCAGAAAUUUGCAUGAGUAACCAGAAGCCAAAUGUUAAUAGCCAGGACGAUGGGGCAAAUGUCUCCAGGGCAUGUCAGAGACCUUCAUGGCAGCCCCUCCCAUCACCGACCUGGAGGCUUAGUAGGAAAAAAUGGUUUUGUGGGCCAGGCCCCGCUGCUGCUCUGUGUUUGUAGCCUUGGGACUUCGCACCCUUCGUCCUAGCUGUGGCUGAAAGGGGCCAAGGUACAGCUUGGGCCAUGGCUUCAGAGGGUGCAAGCCCCAAGUCUUGGCAGCUUCCAUGUGGUGGUGGGCCUGCGGGUGCACAGAAAAACAAGAAGUGAGGUUUGGGAACCUCUGCCUAGAUUUCAGAGGAUACAUGGAAAUGCCCAGAUGUCCAGGCAGAAGUCUUCUGCAGGGGCAGAACUCUCACAGAGAACCUCUGCUAGUGCAGUGUGGAAGGGAAAUGUGAAGUUGGAUUUCUCAUGCAGAGUCCCCACUGGGGCACUGCCUAAUUGGAGCUAUGAGAAGAGGGCCACCAUCCUCCAAACAGGUUGCACCAUUAGCCUGGAAAAGCCGCAGAUACUCAAUGCCAGCCAUGAAAGCAGCCAGGGCGAGGGCUAUACCCUGCAAAGCCACAGGGGCAGGGCUGCCCAAGGCCAUGGGAGCCCACCUUUUUCAUCAGCAUGACCUGGAUAUGAGACAUGGAGUCACAGGAGAUCCUUUUGGAGCUUAAAGAUUUAAUGACUGCCCUGCUGGAUUUCAGACUUGCAUGGGGGCCUGUAUCCCCUUUGUUUUGGCCAAUUUCUCCCAUUUGGAAUGGGAGUAUUUAUCCAAUGCGUAUACCGCCAUAGUAUCUUGGAAGUAAUUAACUUGCUUUUGAUUUUACAGGCUACUAGACAGAAGUGGCAUGCCUUGUCUCAGAUGGGACUUUGAACUUGGACUUUUGGUUUAAUGCUGGAAUGAGUUAAGACUUUGAGGUACUGUUGGGAAGGCAUGAUUAUGUUUUGAAAUGAGAGAAAAAGACUUGGGAGGGGCCAGGGGCGGAAUGAUAUGGAAGCUUUGUGUUCCCACCCAAAUCUCAUCUUGAAUUGUAAUCCCCAUAAUCCCCAUGUGUCAAGGGAGGGACCUGGUGGGAGGUGAGUGGAUCAUAGGGGUGGUUCCCCCUGAUGCUGUUCUUGUGAUAGUGAAUGAGUUCUCACAAGAUCUGAUGGUUCUAUAAGCAUCUGGCAUUUCCCCUGCUCACCCUUCUCUCUCUUGUUGCCAUGUGAAGAAGGUCCUUGCUUUUUCUUCACCUUCCACCAUGAUUGUAAGUCUCCUGAAGCCUCGCCAGCCAUGUAGAACUGCAUAUUCUCAGUUUGGGUGUGGUGGCGUGUACCUGUGGCCCUGGCUACUCAGAAAGCUGAGGAAGGAGGAUCCCUUGAGCCUGAGAGUUUGAAGCACAAGAACCAUCAAUCAGCACAGAAGACUUCUGUGACCCCAAACUAUGUGGGGAUUUCUCCCUAGCAACAAGCAAGCAAUCAGUUUGGCAACAAACACUGACUGGAUGUCUUCCAAUUCAAUUCCAACACUAUCUACCUGGAAAUAGUGUCUGAUCCCACAGGGUAAGGGCUCAGCACCCCCAAGAUUGUCCUCUUUCCCUCUCCCAACACUGCUAGACACCAGUCACAGGUCUAGGGCCUCUGGAACUUCUGACAACUGGCUUCAAGUUGGGGUUCCCACAAUCCCUCUUGGGGUUCAAUUAAUUUGCUAUAGUGACUCACAGAACUCAGGGAAACAUGUUUACCAAUUUAUUUUAUACAAAGGAUACAGAUGAAGAGAUGCGCAGAGUGAGGUAUGGGGGAAGGGGCACAGAACUCCCAUGCCCUCCCUGGGCGAGCUGCCCUCCAGGAACUUGCAUGUGUUCAGCUAUCCAGAAGCUCUCUAAAUCCAGUCAUCCUGGCUUUUUAUAGAAGCUUCAUGACGUUAGCAUUCCUUCCCCCAGGGUAUGGGAUGGGACCCUCUCUGGAAUGGUGGUCUUAUGACCCACAAUCAGAUUACAGACCUGCCUUGGGGCAGGUGAAAGGAACACUGGAGAAAGUCAGAGAGGCCUAACAUACCAACAUUGUAACAAAAGACUGUAACAAGGACUCUGGGAGUUAUGAGCCAGGAAUCAUAGAUGGAAACCUAAACAUAUGUGUGUAUUUACAUCUAUUACCACAUCAAGGAAAGGUUUCACACACUGGUAUGAAACUGGAAAUAAGUAACAGGAGAAAACUUGGAAAAUUUGCAAGUAUGUGGAAUUAACACUCCUGAACAACCAAUGGGUCAAAGAAGAAAUCAGAAAUAUCUUAAGACAAAUGAAAAUGGAAACACAACAUACCGAAAUUUAUGGGAUGUGGCUAGGUGCAGUGGCUCAUGCCUGUAAUCUCAGCAUUUUGGGAGGCCAAGGCUGGCACAUCACUCGAGGUCAGGAGUUCAAGACUAGCCUGGCCAACGUGGUGAAACCCCCAUCUCUACUAAAAAUACAAAAAUUAGCCGGGCAUGAUGGCAGGCACCUGUAGUCCCAGCUACUUGGGAGGCUGAGGUGGGAGAAUUGCUUGAACCUGGGAGGCGGAGGUUGCAGUGAGCCAAGAUCAAACCACUGCACUCCAGCCUGGGCAACAGAGUGAGAUCUAUCACACACACUCACACACACACACACACACACACACACACACACAAAUGAGAUGCAGCAAAAGGAGUUCAAGAGGGAAAGUGACAGCGAUAAAUACCUAAUUAAGAAAAAGAAAGAUCUCAACUUUCCAUCUGAAGGAACUAGAUAAACAAGAACAAACUAAGUUUGCAGAGGUAAGGAAAUAAUACAGAUUAGAGCACAAGUGAAAUAGAGACUAGAAAAAAGAAAAGAUCAGUGAACUAAAUUUUUUUUUGAAAAACGAAAAUUGACAAAGCAUUAUCUAGGCUAAGAAAGACAGGAGACUCAAAUAACUAUAAAUGAAAGAGGAGACAUUACAAUGGGUACCACAGAAACACAAAGGAUCUUAAGAGACUACUAUGAACAAUUACAUGCCAGCAAAUUGGAUAACCUAGAAGAAAUGGUUAAGUUCUUAGACACAUACAACCUAGGAAGACUGAACCAUGAAAAAUAGAAAAUCUGAAUAGACCAAUAAUGAGUAAGCAGUUUGAAUCACUAAUCAAAAAUAUUCAAACAAGGAAUAUUCUCUAAAUGUUUGGUAGCAUUCACCAGUGCAACCAUGUGGUCCUGGGCUUUUCUUUGAUGAGAGACUUUUUACUACUGAUUCAGUCUCCUACCUGUUAUUGGU